AGCGAACGUUGGCGGCGCGCCUAACACAUGCAAGUCGAUCGCGAAAGGACUUCGGUCCGAGUAGAGUGGCGCACGGGUGAGUAACACGUGAGUAAUCUGCCCUUAAGCUUGGGAUAACAUGCCGAAAGGCGUGCUAAUACCGAAUGAGACCACGUCCUCUGUGGAGGAUGUGAGAAAAGAUGGGGGAUCCGGAGAGGACCUAUCACUUGAGGAUGAGCUCGCGGCCUAUCAGCUAGUUGGCGGGGUAAUGGCCCACCAAGGCGAAGACGGGUAGCUGGUCUGAGAGGAUGGAUCAGCCACACUGGAACUGAGAUACGGCCCAGACUCCUACGGGAGGCAGCAGUCGAGAGGCUUCGGCAAUGGGGGAAACCCUGACCGAGCGACGCCGCGUGAGGGAUGAAGGCCCUUGGGUUGUAAACCUCUUUUGUUCGGGAAGAAGUGCGAUCAGGUGAAUAAUCUGGU
rnacentral:rRNA from 1 species